rnacentral:rRNA from 2 species
CAGCCAUGCCGCGUGAGUGAUGAAGGCCUUAGGGUCGUAAAGCUCUCGCCUGUGAAGAUAAUGACGGUAGCAGGUAAAGAAACCCCGGCUAACUCCGUGCCAGCAGCCGCGGUAAUACGGAGGGGGUUAGCGUUGUUCGGAAUUACUGGGCGUAAAGCGCACGUAGGCGGACUGGAAAGUUGGGGGUGAAAUCCCGGGGCUCAACCCCGGAACUGCCUCCAAAACUAUCAGUCUAGAGUUCGAGAGAGGUGAGUGGAAUUCCGAGUGUAGAGGUGAAAUUCGUAGAUAUUCGGAGGAACACCAGUGGCGAAGGCGGCUCACUGGCUCGAUACUGACGCUGAGGUGCGAAAGUGUGGGGAGCAAACAGGAUUAGAUACCCUGGUAGUCCACACCGUAAACGAUGAAUGCCAGUCGUCGGGUAGCAUGCUAUUCGGUGACACACCUAACGGAUUAAGCAUCCGCCUGGG